GGCGCAUCGCGGCGCCCGCCCCCAGCUCCUUCCUUCCGGCCACCAUCUUGCGCCCCUCCGCGUGUGUGCGCUCAGCUCGGCGCUCCCCGCCCUGUCCUCUGCCAGGACAGAGCCGCUUCCGCCCGGGAAGAUGAAAGAAACAAUCAUGAAUCAAGAAAAACUAGCCAAACUCCAGGCUCAAGUGCGCAUUGGGGGAAAGGGAACCGCUCGCCGAAAGAAGAAGGUUGUCCACAGAACAGCUACAGCAGAUGACAAGAAACUUCAGUUCUCCUUAAAGAAACUGGGAGUCAACAACAUCUCUGGUAUUGAAGAGGUAAACAUGUUUACCAACCAGGGAACAGUCAUCCACUUCAAUAACCCUAAAGUUCAGGCAUCUCUGGCUGCUAACACUUUCACUAUCACAGGCCAUGCUGAGACAAAGCAGCUGACGGAAAUGCUUCCCAGCAUCUUAAACCAGCUUGGAGCUGACAGUCUGACUAGCUUGAGGAGAUUGGCAGAGGCUCUACCCAAGCAACCUGUGGAUGGAAAAGCACCACUUGCUACUGGAGAGGAGGAUGAUGAUGAAGUCCCAGUGUGAAUCAAGGAAUUGGCCUAAUACGUAUCAGGAGAGUGCAGAAGAAACCUCCUCUUCUCUUCCCACCGCACUUGUGUGGUAUAGCACAGAUCUUGUUGAAAAUUUUGAUGAAGCUUCAAAGAAUGAGGCAAACUGAACUAAAUGUCACUUUCUGAAUAAAAUUAAAACUUGAAAAAAGCUACAUGAGCUGCUAUUUUAUAUUGUGACUGCUUUUAUUUGUAAUUUUUUUGUAUUAUGUUUACUGAUCUGAUGAGGUCUAAAAUCUGUAAUAUUUCGAAACUCCUUGAACAUUGCAGCUCUUUUCUGUUAUUGCUUGUACACAAAAUUAAUAAUCUUUGCAGCCUGGUUGAACUGAACAAACCUAAAAAUUAGUAUAAAAUCAAAUUGCUAACAAUCUUUGCCUAUACAGUUAAUUUUCUGAGUAACUUGUAUACAAGCAAAAACCUGGCUUUAGUGAAUUUUGGCAUAUAAUAAAAGAUGUAAAAUUGAAAACUUGUUUAGUGUGGCUUUUAUUAGAAAAGCAAAUAUUUUUAAUUGGGAAAUAAUCUGGCCUAAAUAUUGAAUAAUCGUAUUCCUAGAAGAUCUUGCUUCUCUGCAAAGCAUCUCCCAAUUGCCAUGUCACAGAACAAUGCUGCUUCAACUGUUAGUUCUAGAAUUGAUUGUCAUAAGUUUGAAAUGCUGAUGAUUAAGCAGCGAAGCCCCCUGAUAGUUUUAGCCCAGUACAAUACCUGUUGGGUUUCAGGAACAUUUUUUUCUUUUGACCCAACGGAGUUUGAUCAAAAUUUCUUCUACACUCUGGUAUUACUUUGGUGCUCAGAUUGACAGAUAAAUCCAUAUUAUUGGUCUGUAAUAAAACUAAGGGUUGCAGAUAACUUGGGAAAACUAGGUAUUAGUGUCAAGUCUUGUGUUCAGAAAUUACAGAUACAGAAAAACCCAAUCCAGUGGAUUAUAGCAAAAUUAUUUUUCUCACUAAAACUGUCCCAAUAUCAAUUUUCACUUAAAUCACUAUAAUUACUGUAGGAAAGCUAGGCUGUACUAUGGAGUUUGGGAAAGGGAAAGAUUCAGUAGAGCUAAUGGCUGUUCUCUGAAAAGUGUUUUUAAAAAU